CUCUGCUACAGAGUAUAGGUAACGGCACAUAAUAUAAAGGAGCAGGUCUCUCUGUUUAGAGACAGACUUGGACGAGACACCAGCGAGCUGCUGACCUGAUCAACAUUCAAGUGUUUCUAAAGUUUGGACUCUGUGGAGCUCUGUCACGUCUCCGGCUGCUGUGAAAACUCUCCCAUCAGAGCGCUGACUGACUGACUGACUGACCUUCUGUAACACUGCCACCUGCUGCUGACUGACUUUCUGCUCUCACGUCUUCCUGACGUUUGGAUCUGAAGGAAACCACAGGUUGCACACGAAAAUCACCAUUAAACCGCUGAAUACAAUCAACAAAAAUGAAUAAAGUACCAGCAGAAUGUAACAUGGGCAAAAGCCUGAAAUGCUGGAAGUGUGAUAAAGUCCUGCCUCCGUGCAAAUCCUUUGCUGAUUUGUAUGUAACUAGUCUUCAUGGGGAGCGCUUCUAUGUGUUCAACGGAGGUGAAUACUACAGACCAUAUGAACUCUUUAUGCACGAGUGUAAAUGUUGCUUUAAUAAGCCAACCAGCGCUCAAGACAAAAUGACUACAGUUCCAGUAGAAAGUAAAAUGGGUGACCGCCUGAGAUGCUGGAAGUGUGAUAAAGUCCUGCCUCCGUGCAAAUCCUUCAAUGAUUUAUAUGUAGAUACUGUUCGUGGGCGGCGCGUGUAUGUGUUCAAUAGAGGUGAAUACUACAGACCAGUUGAUCACUUUUUGUACGAGUGUAAAUGUUGCUUUAAGUAGCAAAUCAGGGAUCAAGAGAAAUAAAUGACGUACGAGGAGAAGAGAAGAGGAGAGGAGAGAAGAGGAGAGACAGAGGAGAGGAGGAGAGCGAGGAGGAGAGACAGAGGAGAGGAGGAGAGAGAG